rnacentral:rRNA from 1 species
GACAGAGGUGCCGAGCGUUAGGCGGAAUCACUGGGCUUAAAGCGUGUGUAGGCGGGCGAUCAAGUACCUUGUGAAAUCCCACGGCUCAACCGUGGAACCGCUGGGUAUACUGGUUGUCUUGAGCCGGCUAGGGGCGAGCGGAACAGACGGUGGAGCGGUGAAAUGCGUAGAUAUCAGGAGGAACACCGGUGGCGAAGGCGGGUCUCUGGGCCAUUACUGACGCUGAGGAGCGAAAGCGUGGGGAGCGAACAGG